rnacentral:rRNA from 1 species
UGCAGUUGAGCGCUGAAGGUUGGUACUUGUACCAACUGGAUGAGCAGCGAACGGGUGAGUAACGCGUGGGGAAUCUGCCUUUGAGCGGGGGACAACAUUUGGAAACGAAUGCUAAUACCGCAUAAAAACUUUAAACACAAGUUUUAAGUUUGAAAGAUGCAAUUGCAUCACUCAAAGAUGAUCCCGCGUUGUAUUAGCUAGUUGGUGAGGUAAAGGCUCACCAAGGCGAUGAUACAUAGCCGACCUGAGAGGGUGAUCGGCCACAUUGGGACUGAGACACGGCCCAAACUCCUACGGGAGGCAGCAGUAGGGAAUCUUCGGCAAUGGACGAAAGUCUGACCGAGCAACGCCGCGUGAGUGAAGAAGGUUUUCGGAUCGUAAAACUCUGUUGGUAGAGAAGAACGUUGGUGAGAGUGGAAAGCUCAUCAAGUGACGGUAACUACCCAGAAAGGGACGGCUAACUACGUGCCAGCAGCCGCGGUAAUACGUAGGUCCCGAGCGUUGUCCGGAUUUAUUGGGCGUAAAGCGAGCGCAGGUGGUUUAUUAAGUCUGGUGUAAAAGGCAGUGGCUCAACCAUUGUAUGCAUUGGAAACUGGUAGACUUGAGUGCAGGAGAGGAGAGUGGAAUUCCAUGUGUAGCGGUGAAAUGCGUAGAUAUAUGGAGGAACACCGGUGGCGAAAGCGGCUCUCUGGCCUGUAACUGACACUGAGGCUCGAAAGCGUGGGGAGCAAACAGGAUUAGAUACCCUGGUAGUCCACGCCGUAAACGAUGAGUGCUAGAUGUAGGGAGCUAUAAGUUCUCUGUAUCGCAGCUAACGCAAUAAGCACUCCGCCUGGGGAGUACGACCGCAAGGUUGAAACUCAG